GGCCUCAUAGCUCAAUUGGCUAGAGCGUUGGCUGUAUUGAAGCCUUCCCCUUGCUGGCGUGGGUUCGUAUCCCACCGAGGCGA
rnacentral:tRNA from 1 species